rnacentral:rRNA from 1 species
ACACGACUACAUUAGAUACCCGUGUAGUCCAGGGUGUAAACGCUGCGGGCUUGGUGUUGGGGGUCCUUUGAGGGCGCCCAGUGCCGGAGAGAAGUUGUUAAGCCUGCUGCUUGGGGAGUACGUCCGCAAGGAUGAAACUUAAAGGAAUUGGCGGGGGAGCACCGCAACGGAAGGAGCGUGCGGUUCAAUUGGAUUCAACGCCGGACAACUCACCAGGAGCGACGGUUACAUGAAGGCCAGGCUGAUGACCUUGCCUGAUUUUCCG